CACGUAGGGUCCGAGCGUUGUCCGGAAUACUGGGCGUAAAGCGCGCGCAGGCGGUUAGUCGCAUCGGCGGUGAAAGCCCCCCGCUUAACGGGGGAGGUCCGUCGAGAUGGACUGACUGGAGGCAGGGAGAGGGCGGUGGAAUUCCGGGUGUAGUGGUGAAAUGCGUAGAGAUCCGGAGGAACACCAGUGGCGAAGGCGCCGCCUGGACCUGACCUGACGCUGAGGCGCGAAGGCGCGGGGAGCGAAC
rnacentral:rRNA from 1 species